UUUGUGAAACUUGUUAAUAGCAUUCCUUGAUGUAUUUAAUAUUUAAUGAUUGUUAACAUGUAACCUUCUCCUAAUUUAUCGCUUUUGCAGUUCUCCUGAUGGAGAUGAAAAUUUUGUGGAGAACAAGGCUCUUUUGAACUAUUGAACUUUGAGUGAGGGUUCUGAAGCGGUGAAACCCAGUUCUAUGGCAGUUUCAGAAUUUCAUUUCUUCUUAUCGGGAAUAGGGUUAAGGUAUUCACAUAUUAAUUAUCUGAAUAAUUUUUUUCUUCUCAGUGCUGUUAUCUCUAUGUCCCUGUUGAGUAUCAUGUUAUAACCUGCCUGUUCAAGAGCUUUCCCGUACUCCACACUCUCAAAAUCGACAUAUCCCAUGGCAGCGACAGCAAUGACUUUGUUGGAUCAUACUGAUUGCACUGAAGAACAAUAUUGGGAGAGUCAAGCUCAGGUUUUGAGUCCCUUCCUCUGUUAUCUAAAGGUGGUGAGCAUCGUCGCAGCCAAUUAUCCCAUGAAUCUUAUGAUCCCUGAGAGUGAUUAGCGUUGUAAGGUUACUUCAACACGGAGGAGGCUUGCAAGAAAUGAUUCUUUGUGACGACAAUGAGUUUCCGCAGACAAAUCCAGAUCCUUGGAAGGACAAAAUUGGUUUGAUAGAGGGAUUCCCACGGGCAUCUGCUCAUGUCAAAAUCUCAACUGUUUGCUUGACGAAUGACUGUUUUCCGAAUUUGCUUCGAUCAAUUUAGACGAUGAUGGUAUCAGACAUUAGUCGGAUUAAAAUUUCCUGUUCGAUAUGUAAUAAAAACUAAAAUGUAUAAACAUCUUCCAUGUAUGUGAAUUGAAUAUAACGUUGAUGGAUUGGGGAUGUCAA